AUUGAACGCUGGCGGCAGGGCUAACACAUGCAAGUCGAGCGGAUGAAGGGAGCUUGCUCCUGGAUUCAGCGGCGGACGGGUGAGUAAUGCCUAGGAAUCUGCCUGGUAGUGGGGGAUAACGUCCGGAAACGGGCGCUAAUACCGCAUACGUCCUGAGGGAGAAAGUGGGGGAUCUUCGGACCUCACGCUAUCAGAUGAGCCUAGGUCGGAUUAGCUAGUUGGUGGGGUAAAGGCCUACCAAGGCGACGAUCCGUAACUGGUCUGAGAGGAUGAUCAGUCACACUGGAACUGAGACACGGUCCAGACUCCUACGGGAGGCAGCAGUGGGGAAUAUUGGACAAUGGGCGAAAGCCUGAUCCAGCCAUGCCGCGUGUGUGAAGAAGGUCUUCGGAUUGUAAAGCACUUUAAGUUGGGAGGAAGGGCAGUAAGUUAAUACCUUGCUGUUUUGACGUUACCAACAGAAUAAGCACCGGCUAACUUCGUG
rnacentral:rRNA from 1 species